AACGAACGCUGGCGGCGUGGAUUAGGCAUGCAAGUCGAACGCGAAAGAGGGGGCAACCCCUUGAGUAGAGUGGCGAACGGGUGAGUAACGCGUGAGAAACCUGCCUUCGACAGGGGGAUAACACUCCUAACGGGGUGCUAAUACCGCAUGAGACCACGGAGUCGCAUGGCUCCGAGGUCAAAGGUGGCCUCUAUUUAUAAGCUACCGGUCGAAGAUGGUCUCGCGUCCCAUUAGCUAGUUGGCGGUGUAAAAGACCACCAAGGCGACGAUGGGUAGCUGGU
rnacentral:rRNA from 1 species